rnacentral:lncRNA from 1 species
UCUCGGGCUGUAAGAUCCACUGGAAACCUCCUCAGUUGCGUAGCGUGAACUGUCAAGUUUGCCGGGUCCUGAAAGAGCAGUUUGGUAGUAGCUUGGUGUGUAUUUUGGAGGAGCAAACGAGUGACUGAAAUCUGUUUUGAAAAUUCAUAGGGAAGUUUGUGGCACACAUAGGUCUUGCUGGCCAGAUGACACAAUGCAUACACCAUGCUGCCAUGAGGGCACCAAACCAUCCUUGACAAGUCUUUCGUUUAAAUGUAUUUCAGCUAGCAUGUCACAGGAUGGUCAUUUUAAACAUGGAACCCAGUCAGGUGAAUAAAGAUGCCAAAUAAUGCACAAGUCAACUAGAUUAAUA